UUAAAAAAAAGGGCAUCCUGUUGAGGGAGAAAGAACUUCGCUUGGUCGGUAUCAUUUUGGCCUUGCUGGACAUGUCAACAUUUUGUUUGUAGUACCUGCGUAGAAAUGUCAAACCACCUGUACAAACGUACAAAUACCACCCCAGGGAUCGCGAUGAUGCUAGCCAGCAGUCCAGCACACACUAGCUUGUCCUGAAGAUCCAUGCAACACCGUAUACAGAGGAAAUUUAUGGACACGGCAAUGUAAACAUCCCCCAUAU
rnacentral:lncRNA from 1 species